AAAACAGACAAAACUAGUUGCGAUGCCCCCUCACAGGAACCAGGGAGCGAGGCCACCUCGCACCUCCAUCUCUUCCUCCCGAGCACGACCCUGGGCUAGGGUUCCAUACGCCGCUGCCGGUCUCUCUCCCCAACCAAGAACGCCAACGCAGUAUGGUGCACUCGUUGCCAGGAACUGCACUCACCAAUGGACUAGCUAGAAAUACCCAAGGGAAGCUCUUGAGCUUAACAUACUUGCGUCUUUCUUCUGCUACAAGUAACUGGCGAUUCGUCGCCGCCGGUAUCACCUGCAUCUACUGUGGGGAUGCGCUCGCCCUUGUCCUCGCCAGCAUUGUGGCUGGAGGCCACAUAGACCCAACCUCUGCAUCCAGAGCACCGGGUCCUUCCUGUUCCUAUACCGUUUCGUAGCCGAGGAGAUCCAACUAGUGUAACCACGCCUCAAUUGUUGUUGUCGUGCCUCAAGGAACUUGCCAACAUCGGUAUCAGGUUAGUUCGAUUACACUUGGGUCACGGCGGUUGCCGUGCUACUAUGCUCCUCUCAUGUUGUAGUGGCUAGCUGCGGCAAUUCACGGAUCAUGCUCUCUCGUGGGAAGGAGGUUGUGGCUUUCUCAAUUAAUCAGAACAAUAGAACCCCACAUAGUUCUUUUCUAGAUAUGUAUUGUUAUUUCUGAUGAUGUGUGGACCAUCAGAAACCUAAUGUGUAUGUGUAUCAUAUAAUAUCUUUCUAUUUAGGUAUAUUGCUUCCAUUUUAUUCAUGUACUACUUCUCUAAAGAUUGUCAAAUUACAUGCUGCAAGUUUCUGUUGAGUUAAUUAUUUUCCUCAGGUCAAACAGAAAUAUGGAAACUGUCAAGGAGAUGUCGAAUGAUGAUUACAUUUAGAUACUGAGAGACAUUCCAAAACAUGUUUUGGCAGCUUAGUUUUUAUUGUGCUUAUUUUUAAACUCGAAACGUUCUCUAUUAUUGGCGGGUUCUCUAUAAUCCCAUGUUUGUGAAGUCAAUUGUUUAAUUUGAUUGAGUACUUAAGUUAAUGCAUAUAUUUAUUUUUCUAUAUCGUAUCUUAACUGCUUGGACUCUUCAUGUACACUAAAUGUGAAACUCAUUAUGAUUCACAAGUGCAUGAUAGCUUGUGAGAUAACUGAUGUAGUUUAUAUGAGUCAUGCAAUUUGUUGUUAGCAACAUGUACCAGAUUUGGGUAAUUUCCGCUUCACUACUGUUUUUGUUUUCACACAUUCUCGAUCAUACUAACAUACUUCGAAGAGAUGUCCCAGAUUUAUUGUUUUGAAUUGCACUAAUUUCUUUACAUGUCUUCAGAUUCACCAGUGUGUUCGAUGGUGCCAUUUCCAGUUACUAUUGGUGCCUAUGGUUUGUUCAGGUGAUGAGGCAACCGCCAUCUUAGGCCUACUGAAGAACGACGUCUUUGCAGGAGGGGGAAGGAGUCGCGGAAGCUCCUGUGCCGGCGGGAGCGACAGUUCCACAACGAGUUGGUCAUUCGCCGCCUUUGAGUUGGAGGAUGUCCAAGGCCGGGAUUGUUCCUCACCACUGAGUUGCAGUGCAGUCUCACACAAAGGAAGAGAGAAGAUAACUUCAUGUCAACGAAUCGUGAAUGGUUGAGAUAGUAUUGAUGCUCAAUCCAGAUCUGGAUGUCUCAUCUCUGAACAUUUAAGACGCUGAGUAGUCCAUGGAAGCUUGCCUAGUCGCUUUUGCGCAACAUUAUAUCUUUGGAUGUUUGCACUUUCAUGGCUCUAGACGUGAGAUUCCUUAUAUGGUAAGAAAAUGUUGGUCGAGGGCUUCAUUCAGCUUGCGGUACUAAAUAAUCUCCCAUAUUUAAAUUUGCUUGCUUUGGCAUGUUACUUUAUCUAUAUUUGAAAUUGGAUAUUCUUUGAUAUGUAAUUUUAGGAAAUAGUUGGUUUUCAAUCUUUUUGCUUUCUAUCCUGAAACUAUUAAAGUUGAGAAACUGAAAUUCAGAAGAUCCAAAACCGCCAGAUACAAUGGCUACUAUAAUCAAUAAAAUUAGUUACAUAUAUACUUACUAAGUUAUCUCUGUAUAUAUAUUCAGAAACUAUGUUGAUUAGGCUACUUAUAUGCAUUGGAAAACUAUUAGAUUCCUUGCUGCAUUAACAUUAGCAUCCACAGUUACCUCUCUGUCUAUAUGUAAAACAUAGAUAAAAUUUAUGCAAUGCUAAUUAUAAACAAAUUUAGUUGCUUUGGUCUACCCCACGUUUGUCCCCAACAAUCUAUAGCCGCACACUCAAGGUUCAGGAAUGUGGAAAGCGGCAACACAUCUUCGCUAGAGCUGUUCUGGUAUGCUUAUUUCACAUAUCAAGAAUAGGGUUGUACACUUAUUCCUUACUUCAUUUAUAAGCCAUGUUCAUCCAUCCAUUUCUUAUAGAGGUUAGGGUUUUUAUAAGCCAUGUUUAGGAAUUUAUUCUUACAUCUAUUCUGUAUAUAUAUUGUUAAUUUUCAGCUGUCAUGUGUGCAAGAAAUGCACGUGGGAGAUUUCGGCUUCACUUAAGUGUGUCUAUGGACAUUUAUACUUCUAUUACAUCUGCAAACUACAAAUAUGAAAUAUGAUUUUUUAUAUAGAAUAUCUUAGGCCCCUAGCUGUAUUAGUUGCUGGCCCCUAUGUUUGCCAACAGAGUUAGUUGAUGAUUCCAAUGUGGAGAGCAUUCGGAUGUUGUAUACUGUUUAUGCCUAAAGACUAACAAUUCUUUAUAAUAGCAUAUGCAGUAUAUAUCUAAUAAUUCUCUCUUUUAAUAUUAAUUCAAGUAAUGUCUUUUGGCAUUUUAAGUUUUACGAGCUUGCCAACUGCUUAAAAUUAUUCGAAUAGUGUAUUGUUGUUUUUAAAUAAACUGAAACCUUGUAGCACUGUAAAAACAUAUUCUAGUUCCCUAACUUUGUAGAAAUAAUUCAUGUUCAUAACUCAUAUUUUGUCUGAGCGGAAUAAGAGUAAGGGUUGAGCGUAAGCGAGUUGUGGAUUGGCGUUGGUUUGUUUAGUUACUGUUGUGUGAGCGGAAUAAUUUCUUACUUUAGAAAAUGUGAAAAAUUACAUUUCAUUAGAGAUCGCUUUGCAGCAAAUUGUAUGAGAUGACUGUUCAUAUAUUUUGUCAUCAAGUCAUAUUUUUUUUUGUUACAAUAGACAGGUAAAUGCAUUGGUUUUUUUCUUCAAGGGUUAAUAACAAACAAGGUGGUGUCUGGUUGCAUGCUCAAGAACAGAUAUCAUAUUUAUUUAUUUUUGUUAAUGCAUGACAUUCACCUGUAUGCUAGAAUGUGGUAAUGUCUCACGAGACAUCGAAUCUGACUUCUUGACUCAGGGGUGUCACAUGAGCGGCGCAUGCCUCACUGCCUUGAUGGAGGUGUUCAAUCGACACGAACACGCGGAGAGAGGGGGUUUUGGGUGGAGAGCGGGUUGGUUGGCAGGGGACUCCUCCUUGCCGAACCGUGGGGAAGCACGGUGUGAAGGAGAGAGAACACCGUGGCAAAGGUAAGGUGGGCGUCAUCCGAUAUUAAAGGAAGAAAUGUCCCGCCACGGUGGAAAACAGAGCGGGAAUGGAAGGAUCCGACAAAAAAUGGGAAAGAGUGUGUCGUGGGGUGGAGUUUUUAUGUUGGGACCACGUGUUCGAAUAACAUGGCAGGUAGUUCGGUCGAGAUUUGGAUUUUGAGGAGCCCGCUUGACGCCCGAUUGAUGUCUAAACACGAUAGGACGUACGAGGAAAAAAUAAACUUGGAACUUGAAGACGACAUUAAUCAUUUGCUUGAUUCAUUUA